rnacentral:rRNA from 1 species
AAGACCUUGCGCUUUUGGAGCGGCCGAUGCCUGAUUAGCUUGUUGGUAAGGUAAAAGCUUACCAAGGCUUCGAUCAGUAGCUGGUCUGAGAGGACGGCCAGCCACACUGGGACUGAGACACGGCCCAGACUCCUACGGGAGGCAGCAGUGGGGAAUUUUGGACAAUGGGGGCAACCCUGAUCCAGCCAUGCCGCGUGAGUGAAGAAGGCCUUCGGGUUGUAAAGCUCUUUCAGCCGGAACGAAACGGUUACGGUUAAUACCCGUGAUUACUGACGGUACCGGAAGAAAAAGCACCGGCUAACUACGUGCCAGCAGCCGCGGUAAUACGUAGGGUGCGAGCGUUAAUCGGAAUUACUGGGCGUAAAGCGUGCGCAGGUGGUUUUGUAAGUCAGAUGUGAAAUCCCCGGGCUCAACCUGGGAACU